CACAUUGCCCCGAGGUUGUAGACAAAACUAAAAAUAGGAAUGCUGAAGUCGGCUUUGAAAUAUUGCCUAGAAAGUACCCAUUACUAAAAAAAACCAACACAAAAUCAUUUUUAGCCUUUAAGAUAAAUUAACAAUAUUUUGUACAGAAAGGCGACCUGGAAUAAAGGGUACUAAAAUCUUCUCCCUUGGAGGCCCAGACACUCCUUCAAUUUAUGGGCGUGUGUGGAAUAUGCGAGUGCAGAUGUCAAAGCCAGGUGCCAAACAAACACCUCGGUUCAUGUAACGCCACCACUCGGAGGUUCAAGUAGACGCUUAACCUGCAGCCGGCGGCAAUGAAGCUGACAGUCGACAGUCGACAGUCUCCUCUGGUUUCUGUGAUUCCUAUGAUUCCUGUGAUUCCAAGACGGACUCAACUCGUUCCGAGGCUGGAGUAAAUUAAAAACAGACACCGAGGGCAAGGAGGCGCAUAGAAAUGAGCGAGAAUUGACUCAAAGACCUGACUCGCCGUGCUUUCAAACACUUCAUGACUGAGAAGCCCAACGCAGCAGAUGCUUUUUGAAAUGGAAUCAAAUGUAAAGCUCGGUUGACUUCCGCAUUAAAUGCUUGUGCUAAAUUAGGAAGAAUGAAAUCAACAUGUUUGAAAAAAUCUAUAUCAGUAUCUCUUCAUGUGAACUGAAUUACUCUAUACCCAUACUUUGUACAAUAAAGGGAAAUAUUUGAAUAGGCAAUGCAAAA